CUAGCUCCUACCAGCAACGGCCGCGCUUCGUCCUCCCUUCGCGGGCACUGGGCCCGCGCGCUGCCGGCUGGGCUUUCCGCUUUUCUGGGUUUGUUUUCGCCGGAUGCUGAGCGCUUGUACAACUUGGGCUGUCACCUUUUUGCUCCGUCGCCUGGAUCGCAAUGCAGCCUACUGGCCUGGGCGUUCCGCCGCUCGCCUUGAGGGGGAAAGCCGCGUAGGCUCGGGCCUCCCACGAGUGGAGAAUGGGGGGUGGGGGGACCUUUCAUUCCUUGAAGUGAAAUGGCGGGAAACCCCACUGCAGAAGGUAGUUGUGAGCAGGCUGUUACAAGUGUGGCACUUUUGAGCUGGAUUUGGGCGGGAUGCAUCCGACUGGAAGUUAAGACAGGCAAUCCUGUUGAGGAAAUGGGAAAUUUCCACGAUCCGCGGCAGUUUUAUUUCACAUAGCUAGGAUAUUCUCUCAUCAGAAAAAUCCUGAUCAGCAUGUGCUUUAACAGAAAAAUCUAUUCCACUUUCUUGCUAUUUAACUUGGCACAAGCUUUGUUGUACCUACCUCCUUAGUUGUCUGAAGGAAAAUAGAUAGGCAUGCAAAAUGUUUAGGAUGGUGCCUGCAUACAAUAAACACUCAGUAAAUGUUA